GACGAACGCUGACGGCGUGCUUAACACAUGCAAGUCGAAGGGAGUGGCGAACGGGUGAGUAACACGUGAGUAACAUGCCCUUUUCUUUGGGAUAAGCCUGGGAAACUGGGUCUAAUACUGGAUGGAUGGGGAUGGGCUCGGGGCGUAUCAGCGUGUUGGUGGGGUGAGGGGUUACCAAGGCUUUGACGGGUAGCCGGCCUGAGGGGGGGGGCGGUCACACGGGGACUGCGAGACGGCCCAGAUUCCUACGGGAUGCAGCAGUGGGGGAUAGUGCACAAUGGACGACAGUCUGAUGCAGCGACGUCGUGUGGGGGAUGAAGGCCUUCGGGUGGUAAACUCCUUUCGCCCGCGGAAUGGUAGUGGGUAAAGAAGCGCCGGCUAACUACGUGCCAGCAGCCGCGGUAAUAC
rnacentral:rRNA from 1 species